rnacentral:rRNA from 1 species
AGUCAACCCGAACAGUUAGACAGAGAAAAAUCCUCCAAGCGCAUCGCCACCCGCUGCCGCGAGCCGCCGCCCGCCGGCCCCAGCCCCGCCACAGGCUACAGCGCGCCGCCACCGCCUACCCCGCCGGCACUCCUACCCCUACCCCAAGUGCCUCCCACGCUCGCUACGUUCUACCGCCGGCGACACUCGACGCCGCGGCCGUUGCCGGCUCCCACACCCGCGGGCCUUUAUCUCCCCGGCGGCCGCCGCCGCCGCCCUGCUCGUCCAGCGGGCUGGCCCUGUCCAUGGGGCGUACGGGCUACCCGCGCCCUUCGACGCCCGCACGCGCCUCCUUCUGCCCUUCCGCCGCGGACGAUGCCGACUUCUCUGAGUCUAAUGCGAUCCUGGUGGUGGCCACGCCCUGCGAGAGUCUGUUGCUGCUCAGCCCAGCGUCUUGCCGUGGCGGGCGCCUGUCGUCGGAGCUCUGGUUGUCGGUUCCAGAGUCGGGUGGUUCCACACAGGGGCGCAUAUCCCGUUGUGCCACCAAUCACUUAAUUCGGCUCUCUUGAGCUGCCCGGCUUCGGCGGCGAAGAUGAUGGCGAUGCCUAGGACACAACGGCCACAUGGGAUGAAACUAGCAGAGAUGAAGAAGGCGGUGGUCGUUGGGAGGAGAAGAUUGCCCGGAAGCUGGAGGACGUGCACCAGCUGCGGUUGCUGGACAACCGCUACGUUUAGUGGCUGAGGGAAUUGUUGGGCUACGAGAAUCAGUCGCUGAUAAGAGGGCUGAGGCUGAGAAGAUCAAGAGGGAUCAGAGAUUGUGCUCAAUUGUUGGUGGUCAGGACGUCAGGAGUUAUCUGAAGAAAGGACUCACUAUCUGGUUAAAUGUUCCAUUGGAUGCCCUUGCAAGAAGGAUUGCUGCGGUGGUUCAGCGUCACUGCCCCUCCUGCAUCAACAAUCUGGUGAUCCAUAUGCAAAGGUUCAGAAGAGCUAUUUUGUGUACAUGAGUUGCUACUGGCAGUGGACAGAUUGUCUAUGCAGAGUGCGUAGAGAAAAAAAUGCUCACAUACAAACACAAACGACAUCCAGUAGGCGCUUGGAACACCCGACAGAUUGAAAGCACAGAAGCAAAGAUUUCCAAUACGAGGCCACGAUGCCCGACAGAGAUGUAGCCAAUAUGUGCCCAAUCCUUAUUUCUUGAUGUUGGAACAACAAGUGUUGAGGCAGGGAAAAGGCAGCAGUAGAGGCAUGGGCACUUCAGAAAAGGGUGUUGACUGUUCUGAUUGAGGCCAGUUGAAGGCUUCCACGUGCCACCUCCUUCGCCUCCUACGCCGCGUCGAGAAAGGCGGACACGUGCGGUAGGAGCCAAGGGGGAACAGGGAAAGGCGGACACGAGAUUCGUGAACCCAGAGAAGAGAAUGUAUGCGAGCUUGUCCACCUCGGCGGUGUCAGCCGCCAGUGCCACCGUGUCCCGCCUCCGCCUGGCCUGGUCGCAACAAAAGUAUGACUGCAGGUGUGGUUCAUUCAGUUUUGAAGUUUGAUUUACUUGCUUGUGCAUGUGUGUGUGUAUUCUAAGAGAGAGGGAGAGAUUAUUCUGUUCUAGCCAGUCGUAUUUCUGGACAAAUCUGCUCCCCUCCACUCCUUUUUUAUUUGCCUUAAAUCUGAACAUGAAAAGCAGUUACAAAUUGAGAGCAACAGAG